UCUUAUGCAAAAGUUCGCUCUGUGCUGCCACAGUAGACAUGAAAAAAGAAGGCGCAGUUAUAAAAAGAAGUUCUUAUUCUGAAAUCAUAUCCAAGCUGUUCAAUUUGUCAUAAGCCACCACAAGAGGUUCACAGCUGCUGGCCUAUGCUGAGGCUUAUGUAUAGCAUCAAAGAGUUGGAGAUUGAUGCUCAGAGAAAGAGACUCUGGAAGUGGACUUGAAUUCUAAUUCCGUCUCUCACCUUGUCGUUGAUUGUUUCAUGGAAUGGAUAGUGCAGCUGAAGCCAAAAUUGUGUUUGCUUUACAUCCAGCUCUGAGAACAAGCUCUGGCCACAUUUGUUCAAGUAUUUUCAGCCAGGGCUGACUUACAGAGGCUCAAAAGUAAAAUGAACUGAAGUAAAUGAAAUGAAGUAAAAAAACAAAGUGUGUUAACGCCUUUUCCAGCUGGAUUAUAAAUCCAAAUAAAAAGAUAACCUGACAAAACUUUUCUGUUGCUGUUUCUGGCAAAACAUACCCCUUCUCAGAUUCUAAAAGUUUCGAAGAAUGAAAGUGCUAUUAAAAGGAAUUUUUUUCUGUUCUUUUAUUUUACCUCAUUCUUGUGCUAUGGUAAAAUGAAAUAAUUUUUUAAAUUUUUUCCCGAGAGCCAUUUCACUCAGGACGACUAAUGAUGCUGUGACACCUGCUGUGACCAAAAGACCUUCACUGGAAUGAGGAAUCAUCUUGAAGUCUAAAGAGCUGGACUCCGAUGUAGCUUGCUUUGUUGGGAAAUUGUAUCCUACUGGGAUGAAAUUAUUAUUCUGUUCCCACAGAAGCAAAAGCUGGGAGCUGCCUGAUUCUUAAUGCGUCAGGAAAACUAAGUGCAUUUCUGGCAAAACUGAGAAGAAGGCCUUCCUAUACCACCAGCAUAUUAAGAGAUGUAGAAACUACCAUCAGCCUGCAUGCAGCAAGAUGAGAUUUUGACACUUCACAAAGACACAUGCCAGAACAUAAACUGAGGCCACUGAGGGAUAAGAAGAAGGAAACAUCAUAAGAAUGUAGCAAAGGACCCUGAAAAUGCCUACACACCACACCUCACCUUCCUCUUAAGGACAUCAAUGCCAAUGGCAAUGCUAGGACAGAACACUGAAUUUUAGUAAAUAACUGCGAGUGGAGUUUCUCCUAAAAAGGUACAGUCAUACUUGCUUAUUUUUCUGUAUUCCUCAUGCACUGCAGGAAAAAACAAACAG